CGGACUGGCUCCUCAGCGGGCUCGUCCCGCUUCUCUCUCAGGAGAGCGCCGGCUUCCUUCCUGCACCUGACAGCUUCCACGGCGACCGGCGAGCCCGCUCUGUGGGAGUCUCCUGUGGAGGGAAGCGUUUCUCCGGAGCACGACUUCCGGCCCGGAAGGAAGCCGCCGCCUUUUCUCCCACCCCGCCACGCGAGGCUGCGGCGCACGAUUCAAGAAUGUCACGGGUUCCAUUGGGGAAAGUCCUCCUGAGGAAUGUCAUCCGGCAUACAGAUGCUCACAAUAAGUCGGAUGAGAAGUGAUGGUUUUGAUGAAGAAAGUCAGAGAGACUACUGGAGGUCAAAGAAUGAAAUUUCUGGGGCCCUGGAAGAUGAUUUUCUUAAGGCUAAAUCCUGGAACAA
rnacentral:lncRNA from 1 species